UUCCGGUUGAUCCUGCCGGACCCGACUGCUAUCAGAGUGAGAUUAAGCCAUGCGAGUUAACGUAGCAAUACGUGGCGCACGGCUCAGUAACACGUAGUCAACAUGCCCAGAGGACGUGGAUAACCUCGGGAAACUGAGUCUAAACCGCGAUAAGUUAGGAUUUCUGGAAUGGUUCCUGACUAAAAUCUAUAUGGCCUCUGGAUUGGACUGCGGCCGAUCAGGCUGUUGGUGAGGUAAUGGCCCACCAAACCUGUAACCGGUACGGGCUCUGAGAGGAGGAGCCCGGAGAUGGGCACUGAGACAAGGGCCCAGGCCCUAUGGGGCGCAGCAGGCGCGAAACCUCUGCAAUAGGCGAAAGCCUGACAGGGUUACUCUGAGUGACUUUCGCUAAGAAAGUCUUUUGGCACCUCUAAAAAGGGUGCAGAAUAAGGGGUGGGCAAGUCUGGUGUCAGCCGCCGCGGCAAUACCAGCACCCCGAGUGGUCGGGACGAUUAUUGGGCCUAAAGCAUCCGUAGCCGGUUCUGCAAGUCCCCCGUUAAAUCCAGCUGCUCAACAGAUGGGCCGCGGAGGAUACUACAGAGCUAGGAGGCAGGAGAGGCAAGCGGUACUCAGUGGGUAGGGGUAAAAUCCGUUGAUCCAUUGAAGACCACCAGUGGCGAAGGCGGCUUGCCAGAAUGCGCUCGACGGUGAGGGAUGAAAGCUGGGGGAGCAAACCGGAUUAGAUACCCGGGUAGUCCCAG
rnacentral:rRNA from 1 species